rnacentral:rRNA from 1 species
GACGAACGCUGGCGGCGUGCUUAACACAUGCAAGUCGAACGGAAAGGCCCUGCUUUUGUGGGGUGCUCGAGUGGCGAACGGGUGAGUAACACGUGAGUAACCUGCCCUUGACUUUGGGAUAACUUCAGGAAACUGGGGCUAAUACCGGAUAGGAUCUCCUGCUGCAUGGUGGGGGUUGGAAAGUUUCGGCGGUUGGGGAUGGACUCGCGGCUUAUCAGCUUGUUGGUGGGGUAGUGGCUUACCAAGGCUUUGACGGGUAGCCGGCCUGAGAGGGUGACCGGCCAAAUUGGGACUGAGAUACGGCCCAGACUCCUACGGGAGGCAGCAGUGGGGAAUAUUGCACAAUGGGCGGAAGCAUGAUGCAGCAACGCCGCGUGAGGGAUGACGGCCUUCGGGUUGUAAACCGAUUUCGCCUGUGACGAAGCGUGAGUGACGGUAAUGGGUAAAGAAGCACCGGCUAACUACGUG